rnacentral:lncRNA from 1 species
GUUUAUUAUCACAACAAAAGGGAGAAGCUUACUCCUGCAUCAAAGAUUGUAUAUAAUAAGAAAAGCAGACAAUCAAGUAAACAGCACUUUUGACACAUAUACCUUGAUGCAAUAUAUUUUAAAACUUUUGUAUAUUAUCAAAUUGUAUAGCUUUGAAUAAGUUUUCUUCAUUUUCUACUCUACAACAGAAAAAAGACUCAAAAACAUAUAAAAAUAACCGACAUUGAAAGAUUUUGAUGAAAUGCAGGACGAAGAAAUUUGAAAAUGAAGAAAUUCUUUUCCAGGCAAAGAACUUUCGAAAGGACGUCUAGUUACUGAAUAUGUUUGAACGAAAUGCCACUUAGUGGCGUGGCAUACUUUAAACAUGGACAUUUUCGCUAAAUCUGCGAUCAGUAAAAAAAACAAUAAAAAACCAACAUCAUGCACGUUGUUCACGCAAACAUUCAGUAUUGAAUACUUGACAGUUUUGAACAAGAGGCUCACGAGAGCCUUUAUCGCUCUCUUGGAGCAUGGCUCUUCGACAGUUCAAUUAAGACACCUAUGUAAAAGUAUCUUCCCUGCCGGUGGUAAUCUCGGAUUGGACGCAGAUCACAGGACAUAAUUUUAAUUACUAGUAUGUCAUUAUUUCAUAAUAAUGAAAGGAACUCAUCUAAGGACUGUUGUGAUCAAACUUGGUUCACAUUGGUCAAGUACA